AACAAGAGAAGCAUCAGCUGUCAAUAAUAAGAUAUGUUUCCACCAACAAACCACAAAAAGAAAGGAAAACUUCCAAAACAUAAGUGAAAAAAUAGAAAAACUGUAAUCUGGGUUACUAGGGAGGGGGGUACUCGACUGGUUCAGAAGACAACAAUGGAGGACCUAAGGCUUGGAGGAACUAGAGGGAUGGGUUUGGAGAAGGUUGAGCAUAUUCUGAAGCAUCCCAUCACUUUUCUUGUUUUCUUUUGCUAGCUCAUCUCUAAGACCAUCUUUUUCAGUUAGCAAUUCUGCAACUCGAGCCUAAGGCCUAACAAUUUCAGCAUCCUUAGUUUAACACUCUUGAACCAUAGCCCUAACCUUGCUAUUCACAAGUGUCUUCAGAGAUUAACUAUGUUCAACUAGGAUGGCAUUUACAGGAUAGUCACAAGCCAAUAAGGUCUUAAUAGCAAAAUGCUCCUUGCUUGAUGCCAUCUCCCAUUUCUUCAAAGGCACCCUUAGCCUGUCCAGCACAGUAGUCAGUGUGAACCCACAUGGAGUUGUAUGUGCUUGGAGCAAUUAAUGACCCUGUCUAGUAAUUUGACAAUAAAAGCAUGCCAAUUUAUCUGCAUUCCUCUCACAAGGCACUCCAUAAGCACCAGGUCCAUGUCGUUGGUGGUGUGCCUUGUCUCCUAUCUGAGCAGUAGGCACUUGUUAACAAACUCAAACAAGACCUUAUGCUUAGGCCUCAUCUUACUUUUCUGUACGAAUCUAGCUUCAAGUACAUCUUUAGUAGUUGCAGUAUCACAAAAAUUCCUAGUGAUUUGAAGAGCAGUAGGGAGAGAAUCUAGACAUGGCCAACUCUGUCUUAUAUAAUCAUCAUACCCUUCACUAGGUAUGUCUAGAAUCUCACCCAGUUUGAUUGCAUCAAACUCCACUUUUACACCCUUCACCAGGCUGUAGACUACUUCAUUUUUCACAGUGGCAUUGGCCAUAAACUCAAUCGAUUCAUUCCUAGCCAGUCUCCUAUCCAUCAUAAGGACCAAUUCCUUCCAACCUUAUGCAGCCAGGGCAUCCACCAAUCUUUUCAUAUCUGGCUUAUCCAGGUCUCUCAAUAGUCUUCUUUUCAAAAAUUUUCUUCUGCCAAAGAUGGCAAACCUAUCUUGUUCCUUCCCAGAUUCCUCUUCUUCUUCUCCACCACCCCACUCUUCAUCUUCUUCAAUAAUUUUCUUUUGUUUAGCCUUCACAACAGACCCAGUUCUUUAGGCUAUAGAAGAUUCAGCAGGUACAGGAACAGAGGAAGACUUCUUGGAAGAAGUCUUGGAAUUUUUUUGUUAGGGUGGUGGAACCUCUUUAGUUGUUCCUCUUUCUUGAUGCAUCAAUUCCAUCCCCUCUUAUUCUUCUUCUGCAACCUCAGAACUUUCUACAACCUUUGCUUUUCCAUUCUCCUUCUUCCUUUUCCUACUUUCUUCCUGGGCUUUCUGUAACUCUACUUCACUUUUGUUUGACCCUGCUUCUAGUAGCUCUUCCCUUAGGAACUGAAAGGACAAUAGGUUUUGGGGGAUGAAGUUUUGCUUUACUUGGUUGGCUUGGAAGCAGUUGGAGCCUUUUGUAAAGAAGCCUUGUGCUUCUUUGGAACAUAGCUUUUUCAGAAGAUCAACCAAGAGUUUCCUCAGCUAAUGAAACAUCUUCUUGUUGUUUGCUUAGAUGAAAAAGCCCACUCAGCCGCUUCCCCAGAACCACUUCCCCCUGACUUGAUGCCACUCUCUUCAACACUCUCACAUAGCAAUAAUCUUUUCUUUCCCAUUACCCCUCUUAUCACCACUUGCUCCCUAUCUCUCUUUUCCUUUAUUUUUACCUCCACUCCUACUUGAUUCAUCCCCCUUCACAUCUUUUAUAGGACCAACUAGAACAAACCUAUUUUUAGUGCUUUCAACCACAAUAGAAAAUACUACACAAGACUUACAUCACCAGGGAUUUCUUUAAUUUUCUCAGCAUCAGAAGACCCAUGUUCUUCACCUUCACUAGCAAAAAUAAAAUUUUCAAACUCAGAGUUGGAGUCAGAUUUGUGUAUAGGGCUUUCUUUCUUUUGGCCAGCCUUCAAUUUCUCAUUAAGAACUUUCCAUAUGGCUCCAGAUGCUACAGUUUUUUAGCCAACAUAUUCUGCCUGCAAACCCUAGGUUUUGGGAUUUAAUAGGAGGAGUAAAUGAGGUUGUGUUUGAGAGAGAUGCUGGUGGGGGAGUGCCAGGAUUAUCUUGGGGGUUAGACAUGGUUCUUUGUCUAUGGAAGAGUUUUGGGAAUUUCUGAGAAGAAGGAAGAUUUGGGAUUUUUGAGAAGAAGGAAGAUUUGGGAUUUCUGGAGAGGAAAA
rnacentral:lncRNA from 1 species